AUUGAACGCUGGCGGCAUGCCUUACACAUGCAAGUCGAACGGCAGCGGGGACUACGGUCCGCCGGCGAGUGGCGAACGGGUGAGUAAUGCAUCGGAACGUACCCGGAAGUGGGGGAUAACGUAGCGAAAGUUACGCUAAUACCGCAUAUUCUGUGAGCAGGAAAGAGGGGGAUCUUCGGACCUCUUGCUUUCGGAGCGGCCGAUGUCAGAUUAGCUAGUUGGUGAGGUAAAGGCUCACCAAGGCGACGAUCUGUAGCGGGUCUGAGAGGAUGAUCCGCCACACUGGAACUGAGACACGGUCCAGACUCCUACGGGAGGCAGCAGUGGGGAAUUUUGGACAAUGGGCGCAAGCCUGAUCCAGCCAUGCCGCGUGAGUGAAGAAGGCCUUCGGGUUGUAAAGCUCUUUCGGCCGGGAAGAAAUCGCAUGGAUUAAUACUCUGUGCGGAUGACGGUACCGGCAUAAGAAGCACCGGCUAACUACGUGCCAGCCGCCGCAGUAA
rnacentral:rRNA from 1 species